rnacentral:rRNA from 1 species
CCUACGGGAGGCAGCAGUGAGGAAUAUUGGACAAUGGAGGCAACUCUGAUCCAGCCAUGCCGCGUGAAGGAUGACUGCCCUAUGGGUUGUAAACUUCUUUUAUAUGGGAAGAACUGCAGAUACGUGUAUUUGUUUGACGGUACCAUACGAAUAAGGACCGGCUAACUCCGUGCCAGCAGCCGCGGUAAUACGGAGGGUCCAAGCGUUAUCCGGAAUCAUUGGGUUUAAAGGGUUCGUAGGCGGGCUAAUCAGUCAGAGGUGAAAUCCAGCAGCUUAACUGUUGAACUGCCUUUGAUACUGUUAGUCUUGAGUCAUAUGGAAGUAGAUAGAAUAUGUAGUGUAGCGGUGAAAUGCAUAGAUAUUACAUAGAAUACCGAUUGCGAAGGCAGUCUACUACGUAUUGACUGACGCUGAUGAACGAAAGCGUGGGGAGCGAACGGGAUUAGAUACCCCGGUAGUCCACGCCGUAAACGAUGGACACUAGUUGUUGGGUUUCGGCUCAGUGACUAAGCGAAAGUGAUAAGUGUCCCACCUGGGGAGUACGGUCGCAAGAUUGAAACUCAAAGGAAUUGACGGA